GACGAACGCUGGCGGCGUGCUUAACACAUGCAAGUCGAGCGGUAAGGCCCUUUCGGGGGUACACGAGCGGCGAACGGGUGAGUAACACGUGGGUGACCUGCCCUCAGCUCUGGGAUAAGCCCGGGAAACUGGGUCUAAUACCGGAUAUGACUUCAUGACGCAUGUUGUGGAGUGGAAAGCCUUGUGCGGCUAGGGAUGGGCCCGCGGCCUAUCAGCUUGUUGGUGGGGUGAUGGCCUACCAAGGCGACGACGGGUAGCCGGCCUGAGAGGGCGACCGGCCACACUGGGACUGAGACACGGCCCAGACUCCUACGGGAGGCAGCAGUGGGGAAUCUUGCGCAAUGGGCGAAAGCCUGACGCAGCGACGCCGCGUGAGGGAUGACGGCCUCGG
rnacentral:rRNA from 1 species